GGGGCUGUAGCUCAGCUGGGAGAGCGUCGCGUUCGCAAUGCGAAGGUCAGGGGUUCGAUCCCCCUCAGCUCCA
rfam:Plesiocystis pacifica SIR-1 1103186006307, whole genome shotgun sequence.